GUUGAGUUUACUUAACUUUUUUAAGGCAACCAGUUUGCUCAAUUCUUUUAAGAAAUGGGGAAUGAAAAUUUGAGUUAGCAUAAAUUAAACCAUCAAAUCAAAGAUCUCAGUUCGAAUGUAGAUGUGUCCACAAAUUAAGACACAUCUCCAAAAAAGUUGAGUUAUGUUUAAAAAUAUCCAAUUUAAUGUAAAACAGACUUAAAUCUUUUGAGUUCAAACUACUUCUGGAUUUACAGUGUGGGUGGAUUUAACUGGCUUAGCUGUAUCUCCGUUUUAGAGAUUGUUUCCAAAAACAACAUUUUCACAUGGAUAGGAGACCAAAAGACUGACAAAAACCUUACUUUAAAAUAUCUAGAUACAUGAUUAAUAUCUAGAUCCCCAACCCACAGCCCUCCAGCCCCCAGUCGGACUCCUGGAGCAUGGUCUGUACUCACAAAACAGAUAUCACCUGGACAUCAGUAGCAGCACGUGUGACGCAAAACCAGAAGAAAUGCUGAAAUUCAAGUUUAUAGCUUCAGAUGUUUCGUGCCAGUUCUGCUUAAACAGGUCCCACUGUUUGCAUUGAAAAGCAAGCAUUAAGUAUGUCUUUUCCUCGUUUAACUAUAUAAAUAACUGUAUUCCAUUUUCUGUGAAGAUUCGUCUUUCCACUAAGACAUGGCAGCUUCAGAAGAAGUCAUCAUGAUCCCUGAUUCAGAUCAACAACAACACUGUACAAAAAGCAGAAUUGGUCAGCGUUUGGUCAACAGUGCAGUUUUACUGGGACUCGUUGCAGGUCUGGGUGGAGGGGGACUCUUCGGUGUGGCGAUCGAUGAUGCGAUAGUCCGUGUUAAGAAUACAUCGUUAUUAAAAGCUCAGGAGGACAACUGGUAUUCCACAGCAAUACUACUGUCAACAGUGGGUUUAGUGAUUGCCAUGAUUUCAUCACACAUCGGAAUAAGACUGGGAUACGCAGCGUAUCAUUUCCUGAUCAGAAUGAAAGGAGAGCACGCCAACGUUGUGGCCUUAGAGGGCGCCACACCCGUAGCAUUUCUGGGAAUCACUGCCAGUGCAGCUACAAUGGGGGCCGCCUACAGCAAAUGUAUGCUGGAGUUCGGACUGUUCGAAACAUUUCUGCUUUCGUUUGGAUUAUUUUUCAUUUUGCCGACUUCUGUAAACUGUCUAGCUUUGAUUCACAGUGAUGAACAUGCCAUUUAUUUUGCCGGUUCUUAUGUGUUCAUAAUAAUAUAUGGCAUUGCUUUUUAUUCUCUAAUGUGGUCCCUUUUCUUGGGAUUGGCUGGUGUGUAUUUUCAUUUCUUUGUCCUGGUUUUAGUUUUAUAUGCAUAUUAUUAUUGCGUACAUGAGGAGUUUAAGCUGAAACAUGUAAUGGUUUCAACUGUUUAUCCAAUAGUAUUGCUUUUAUUUACCCUGCUGUUUUUUGUUGGUACUGCAAUGGCAUCACUGUCUGCAGCUGAAAAGGGACCAGCUGUUGGAGUUCUGGCCACACAGCUGUUGGAGGCUGCAGUGGGGCGCUUGGUGUAUCUCCAGGCUGGUGGUGGGGGUGGUGCAGGGGCUUGGAAGGUGUUUUUGGGUGCAUGGAGUGCGGGAAGUGCUGUUUUAGCGACCAUUCAGAAGUCCUCUGUAAUGGUGAAUACAGGGGCAAGGUUAUGGGGUCUGAUUGCUGUUUCUGGAGCAACUGGUGUGGUCCUCUCUUCAGUGGGGGAAAUGGGUCAGAAAUACGGAAAGGCGUGGAACCAGGAGUGGGGAGGAAUGUUGGGCAGGGCAGCGGCGAUAGUGGGAGCAGCAGUCGGAGCUUUUCUUACAGGAGGGACAAAAGAUUUGACCUAUGGAUUUUUUAAGUCAGUGUGUGCAGCUAUAAUUCCCGGGAUGCCGUUUGUGGAAUACAUACUUAAUGUCUUUUAUCGUGGUCUACAAUAUCUAUUUACAAAAAAUGUAAGGAUUUUUCAUCAUUGCAUUUUUCGCUUUAAUAAUCACAUUUAAAAUGAAAUUAACUAUAAAUUUAAGCUCCACUAGGUAGGACUAUAGUUGCAGAGUGUAAUAAAUGUUUCAGGCCGAUUAGUUUCUUUUUCUCG
ensembl:lncRNA